CUGGGGUGCAUUGUAGUUGCAUUGCAUGUGUGUCACAGAGGAGUGCAAUGUACCUGCACUGCAACACAG
rnacentral:pre_miRNA from 13 species